rnacentral:tmRNA from 1 species
GGGGGCGACCGGUUUCGACGUAGAUUGCGAAGCUCUAGGUGCAUGCCGAGGAUGUAGCCUUACUCGUAAAAUAUGACUAUAAACGAAAUAAACGCCAAUGAUGAAGAAGCGUUAGCAGUUGCCUAAAACCAACUGAUCCGUGUUCAAGAUGUACUUAUGCGUCUUGUUUUACGGUCAUUUACAUAAGUCUAUAUUUAUGGUGUGUUUGAUACCAUAACUAUUAGUAAUAAAUCAAACUAGUUUGUUGUUAUUCUUGUUCGUCAGUGAACAACUUACGAAAUUGAAGAUGAACUAUGCAUGUAGUACCAAAAGUAGAGAAUUUGCGGACGCGGGUUCAAUUCCCGCCGCCUCCACCA